AUUGAACGCUGGCGGAAUGCUUUACACAUGCAAGUCGAACGGUAGAGGGGCAACCCUUGAGAGUGGCGAACGGGUGAGUAAUGUAUCGGAACAUGCCCAGUCGUGGGGGAUAACGUAGCGAAAGUUACGCUAAUACCGCAUACGAUCUAUGGAUGAAAGCGGGGGAUCGCAAGACCUCGCGCGAUUGGAGUGGCCGAUAUCAGAUUAGGUAGUUGGUGGGGUAAAGGCCUACCAAGCCGACGAUCUGUAGCUGGUCUGAGAGGACGACCAGCCACACUGGGACUGAGACACGGCCCAGACUCCUACGGGAGGCAGCAGUAGGGAAUUUUGGACAAUGGGCGCAAGCCUGAUCCAGCCAUUCCGCGUGCAGGAAGAAGGCCUUCGGGUUGUAAACUGCUUUUGUACGGAACGAAACGCGCUGAGCUAAUACCUCGGCGUAAUGACGGUACCGUAAGAAUAAGCACCGGCUAACUACGUGCCAGCCGCCGCCGUAAAAC
rnacentral:rRNA from 1 species